GACCCGGUUUGGAUUCACUAGAAACGGCAGCCAGGGUGGUGGAAUUCGCCUUCUCCGGGUGAUCUGCCGGGACCGAACGGUAUCGGAGGGGGAGUAACGCAGGGGAGUUGUAAAAGCAAUGGGGGGCGAACGUCUCAGUAACACGUAGUCAACAUGCCCAGGGGACGUGGAUAACCUCGGGAAACUGAGAAUAAACCACGAUAGGUCACGAUUUCUGGAAUGGAUCAUGGCCUAAAUCUACAUGGCCCCUGGAUUGGACUGCGGCCGAUCAGGCUGUUGGUGAGGUAAUGGCCCACCAAACCUAUAACCGGUACGGGCUCUGAGAGGAGAAGCCCGGAGAUGGGCACUGAGACAAGGGCCCAGGCCCUAUGGGGCGCAGCAGGCGCGAAACCUCUGCAAUAGGCGAAAGCCUGACAGGGUUACUCUGAGUGAUUUCCGCUAAGGGGAUCUUUUGGCACCUCUAAAAAUGGUGCAGAAUAAGGGGUGGGCAAGUCUGGUGUCAGCCGCCGCGGUAAUACCAGCACCCCGAGUGGUCGGGACGAUUAUUGGGCCUAAAGCAUCCGUAGCCGGUUCUGCAAGUCUUCCGUUAAAUCCAGCCGCUCAACGGAUGGGCCGCGGAGGAUACUACAGGACUAGGAGGCGGGAGAGGCAAGCGGUACUCAGUGGGUAGGGGUAAAAUCCUUUGAUCCAUUGAAGACCACCAGUGGCGAAGGCGGCUUGCCAGAACGCGCUCGACGGUGAGGGAUGAAAGCUGGGGGAGCAAACCGGAUUAGAUACCCGGGUAGUCCCAGCUGUAAACGAUGCAGACUCGGUGAUGGGCUAGCCUUGUGCCAGCCCAGUGCCGCAGGGAAACCGUUAAGUCUGCCGCCUGGGGAGUACGGUCGCAAGACUGAAACUUAAAGGAAUUGCCGGGGGAGCA
rnacentral:rRNA from 1 species